CCUAACGGGAGUCAGCAGUAGGGAAUCUUUCACAAUGGGCGAAAGCCUGAUGGAGCAACGCCGCGUGCAGGAUGAAGGCCUUCGGGCUGUACACUGCUUUUAUAAGCGAGAAAUAUGAUGGUAACAUAUGAAUAAGGAUCGGCUAAAUACGUGCAAGCAGCCGCGGUCAUACGUAGGGUCCGAGCAUUGUGCGGAGUGACAUGGUGUAAAUAGUUGGGUAGGUGGCAUAAUAAGUAGCUAGUGAAAUAUGUUGGCUCAACCAUUCAAAGGAUUAGCUAAACUGUUAAGCUCGAGACCGUUAGAGGUGACUGGAAUUUCUAGUGUAGGGGUGAAAUCCGUAGAUAUUAGAAGGAACACCAAUAGCGUAGGCAGGUUACUGGGACGGUUCUGACACUAAGGCACGAAAGCGUAGGGAGCAAACGGGAUUAGAUACCCUAGUAGUC
rnacentral:rRNA from 1 species